GCGCUCGGAGCGGGGCUCGGAGCUCGUUCGCAGCCGGCCGUGGGUGCGCUCGGAGCGGGGCUCGGAGCUCGUUCGCAGCCGGCCGUGGGUGCGCUCGGAGCCCCAGGCCCCGCCACACGAGCUCCGUGCCCUCGCAGCGCUGCCCCCGCGGCCCUGCGGAGCCCCGGGCUGCAGGACACGGGGUCGCUUUUCAGCGUGAUUCCCUCGCUCCGUUACGGUGUUGGUGCCGGGCUGGAGCGGACGCGUAAGCACAGCCUGGUCCCGCUGGCAUGUGGGCCCUGACUGGUGCCCAGAAGUUGUUCCUUGAAGCCAUGCGGUGCCGUUCAGCGUGCGCUCGCUGUAAAUCCAGGGUUGAUAGCUCGUUUUCAAACGGAGUGCAAGGCUCUUUCUGUGGCGUUGCUUAAUUGUUGGGUUUUGUCCACAACAAGCUGAACUAUAUCUGCUUUUUGUGCCACCCGAAACGCACUAAAAGCCAAAUCACUAGAAUGACUAAAACACACACUUAGAAGGAAAGUAGUUGAUGUCUACUUCACUGCAAACUAGUUUGUAAGUGAAAAGCAUUCUGGCUUGGCUAAUGAGCAGCGCUAUAUGGUAGCUGUACAUUUCUGCACUACUCUUUUUCUUAUUAUUUUAGUGUCCUCUUGUGGAAAAAUGCAGUACUGAGGAUAGUUUUUGGUUUUGUGUCCAUGAAGGUUUGGGGUAAUUUUUGAAACCCAUUGUACAGGAGGCUGCUGAAGAUUUGAUAAAGUUGAAUGAUCUCAUCUCCCCUUUCAUGUUCCUUAGUAUGUAACUUAGGUUCCUCUCUGCUUUCUCAGAGAUAAGUGGCAGCUUUUACAAUCAGGAUAUGUUACUAGUGUUUCUAUUUGUAUGGUAUAUUAAUGCUUUAAAAAAAGGUUUCAAGACAGUAAUUUCUCUAAAUCAUAUCAGUGGUUUUAUUUUCAUCUUUCAAGUAUGCUGUGGAAAUGCUGUUUCUGGCUUUGUUGUGGUUUGGUUUUGUUUUUUCUUAAAUUUUUCCUCCUUGAAUUAAGCACAGAGAUCUUCUCAUUGAAAAACUUAAAGCAGUUUUUAAGUAUAUUUCUAACCCGUUUUGCAUUAUAUAACUUAAUGGGUUCAAGUUGUUUAUCUUGUAAAGGUCAGAGGGUUCUUUGGCACAGGAGCUCUUGCCCUGUGGGUUUGAAAUAUGUUGGACCUGAAAGCCCCUCAUCUUAGACCUUUGAGCUCUAUUAUGAUAAAAUAAAGUACUGAGACAGGAACCUGAGAGUCCUGUGCUGUUAAUGUUACUUCAUGUUAGCACGGGGUUUUGUAGAGCAAAACCCUCUACAAGAGGAAGAAAAAUAUCUAAAAUAGUGGGGGUUUUAAUAGGAAAGGCAGUAUGAAAUUAAUGAACUCGUUUCAUUCUGAAAAAAGGUGUUUUACUGCUGCUUAUCAGCUGUGUUGUGCAUUAAAAGGUUUGGGAUUUAGUUGGGGUUUUAUUUGAGGGGGACUUCUGUAAGCAUCUAGGUAUGAGAAAAGGUAUAACUGCAGAAGAAGUGAGAAGUGAUGUCAGGAUCUGUAGCUGCUUGAAGGAGCACAGCUGCCUGGUGAUCUCCAGUUGUCCAGAGGUGUCCAAAGAUCCAGGAGACCAGCGAGCAGGUGCUUGAGUUGAAGAGCCAGAGCAGAGCCAAGCUUCCAGUGCAAGGGAUGCAACCACUGAAGCAAAACUCUGUGUGACUGACUGCCCUGCUGUAAUUUCCCCUCUCCCCCCACUCUGGGGACACACCCCACAGAACUUCUCAGACUGGGAGGAUUCUUCCUCUGGGUUAUAAGGAAUCCAGAAUUCAGGGACAAGAAGCUUUCAGUGAUGUUGCUUUGGAAAGUUCUUUUGACUCUCUAAAACGUGAUGUUCUUAGAGGUUAUUUUUUCUGCCGUUUGUGCAUAACAAGGGAAAAAACUACAGAACUGAAUGACUUUAUUUGAAAUAUAUUGUUAUAUUAGAAUAAAGAGGUAGGUACCACAAAUAUGUGCCUGCCAGAUAAGAAUCAGGAGUUGUUCUUUUAAGAAAUGCUUUGUUAGAUCCUCCUGUCAACCUUUAAAACUGUGCAAACAUCCAGUGUAGCAUGUGUGCAUAAAACAUCUUUAAUGGAGUAAUAAUCUCUAGUUAAUAAUUAAAUCUCCAGGAGCUUUUGUAAUUUGUGGAUGCUACAACAUUUAAUCUCUUUAUGUGAGACUUCUUAAAGAGGAAUAUUCAGUAUUUAAUUUUCAUGAAGGGAAUCCUGGCCUUACAUAAAUGCUGAUUUAAUAUAGCACAGGUUUAAGUUGCUAUUAGGGUGAAGGAGAAGAACUGAUGUCUCAGACUGCAGUUGAUGCUGGAUUUGCAGGUACAGGUAAAUUGGUUGGGCUGUUGCUUGUCAGACUUGCUCAGAGACACAUUAAUGAGAGUCACAAGUGCUGCAUUGUGUCAGUUUUCAGUCAGUGCAAUGCUUGUCACACUAAUGUGUGCACUGGAUUAAUGGACGUGCUGUCAGUGUGCUAAAGUAAAUGGCAAACCUCUGUUUUAAAGGAUGCUGAACUUGUAAAUUAGUCUGUAGGAAUGGGAUAUCUCUUUAAAGAUUGUGCUCUUAUCAUUCCUCCUUCUCUGUAAGGAGUCACUGACUCUUGUCCCAAGAUUUGACAAGUAAUUAAUAAAGUUUUGAAGAAAGUUCUAAGAACAAAAUGGAGUGCUGCCAUCUAGCUCUUUCAUAUGUGCAGUUAGAUGCUGUAAACUGAUUUCUUUCCCAAAGCAAUGUUAGCCUACCUCUUUGAAAUGGAAAGCCUAUGGAAAGAGGAUUGUGUAGAUUAAUGCCAUGGAUUUGGGAUGUCUUCUCUGAAAACACCUGUUUUUGAUUUUUCAAAUAGGCUGUCAGUGGGAGAUCCACGUCCUGUUUCAGAGGUAGAACCAACUUGCUUGGUUUUUCCUGUAUUGUCCUGUUAAAAACACCCAACAAACAAAACCACAAAAAAACCCCAAAACAAAACACCAAAAAACCUCCUUCCCACCAGCUAACUAAAAAACCCAAAAAAUCCCCAAACCCUCAAAACCCCCUAAACCUGAAGUUUGCGGUCCUUGGCGAGUUGCUGCCAUUUUACCCAAAUGUCCCAGGCAUUGUGUGUUUGCCAGCAGUGGCAGUGUUCCCUCGGAGCUCUUCUGCACUGUCAGCACUCUCAGAAAAUACAGCCUCUUCCCUUUUCAAUUUUUGGCAAUUCCACAUCUGCUGAUAGAAGGGGAGGUGUGUGAAAGUUCAGGAUAUCACAGUCCAGCAGGUCAUUGCACUGCUGGUUACUUUGCUGUUUGAGCCUCAAGUAACUUUUCCCCAGAUACACAGCAAAAUCUGGGGUGUUUCUCUGAAAAUCUGCCUGCACCAUCCAGUCUUUUCAAUAAAGAAAGUUUAAAAAAAAAAAAAUCAGUAAGUUCAGUCCUUAUAUGGAUGGAGGGGAGAACUAAUAGGAAGAACAAAUAGAAUCAGUAGAAGUAAAAAAGAGAAAAUUAUAGAAUCCUGCAUCUUUAAAUGUCCUUUUUACUAGAUAAUAAUUUAUUUUAGCUCCUUAAGUAUGAAAUAGAUCAAUAAAAGGCUAAAGAGCAAAUUAAGGUCUUUGAAAAAAGAACACUGAUUAUUUUUAAUUCUUCUACAUCUGUUAAGAGGCUUUUAUAUUUUAGUAUUUUAGGCUGUUUUUGAAUGUGUUAAACACUUGAAUCAAGACACUCAUUUAAAGAUAAAACAUUUGUAUUUUAAAACAUAUGUAUUUUAAAACCCCCAUAUAGACUUUUGUGUCUGCAGAUGUAUAUGUUGAAGCAGAAUUUUAGAAAGUAAAGAAUUCAUUUGAAACAGUAGAGAAUGGUAUGGAAAAUUAAAACAUUAAAUGGGAAAUAUACUAUGGAAAUUUUCCUGUGGUUGUAAUAGGUCAAUAAGCAACCCUUUGAAAUUAAACGUCACGAGAUUAAGGAAAAAAAUUGUUUAUGUUCAGUGCUAAACAUUGUGUUCUGCAUUACUUAAGCAGUGUUUUCUGCCAUAAUCUUUAUGAACAGGCAAGUGCUUUUCUCUCCUCUGACAUGGUAUUUCAUGCCAAGAUCUUUUUGAUCAAAACCAGUAGGGGAUUAUUUUAAUUAAUUAUAAAUCAGCAGCCUAGAUUCAUUAACAUUUUUGUUAAAGAUUAUCUUAUUACUCUAGUUUUGAGACACUGGGUGUUCAGAUACUAGCUUAGGAAGUUAGUUGUCUUUUCCAUGAUAGCAUUAAUCUUAUGUUUGAAUUCCCACAAGAGUUUGGAAGUCAAGUUACAGUUAUAAAGAGAAGUAGAAAUACUGCAGAGAGUUUUGCAGGACCAGGCAAAACUCUCUGCAUGGUCCUGCAAAACUCCAUGUAUUCCUCUAUUAAAACUGAAUUCUUUCACCAGCUUGCCUUAAAAUUUUCAGCAUUGUGUGCUUGUGACUACAGAGCAGUUUCUGGCAUUAGGAGCCUAAACAAAACCCAGUGCCAGGGUGUUUGACCUCUUGGUGCACUUGUCAAAACCUUCCUGGUGUCGCUGGGGGUGAAAUAUGUUUGGUAGCAGGCCAACUCCCACUUUGUGUGGUGAGAGUUUGGAAAGAGGUGUGGGCUGGGAUCAGCUGGAGUUUGUGAGCUCCAAGUGGAUCUCACACGGAGUUUGGUCACGGGGCCAGGCUGGCUCUGCUGGAUAUAAAACGUGCAGCAGCUUGGAAAUCUGCUGUCUUUUUAAAUGUGCAGCCUGGUGGAGUGCAUGCAUCCUUUCUGGAAUGUGGGCUCCCAUGUUAUCCAACUCUCCAAGGCUGGGAGGUGGCAGCAGGGUGAGGAGUCUCCGUGCACAGGAAAGGCUUGCCUAUGGGAAAGCAAGAAGGAAGGAGAGCUGCCUUGAAUUCAUACCAUGACAAUGAUUAAGUCAUCAGCAUGGUUCAGUUACUUUGAGGUUCAAAAAGAGCUCACUGUGACAUAGGCAGUGUAUUUAAAAGCACUGAGCUAACACUUCCUGCAUGUGAGGAAUUGCUGUUGCAUAGUCAGCCUGGAGCACAAAGGCAGCAGUAAACAGGAGGCUGUCCUGUGCCUGGGUUCAGUAUGCCCUCAGUGCUCAGGAGCUCUCAGUAGGGACAGUCAAGGUCUUAUUUAUAGCUGCCCUUGGCUCCUGGGGAAUUUAAUAGCUCGGGUUUGCACUAGGGGUUCCCAGUGACCCUUCAGACUGCAUCUGGUGACGUUUAAUACUCCGAGUGAGUGCUAAUUAUGCUGCUUGCAGCUCUUUGGACAGGCAGGAAGUGGUUUCCCAUCCUCAGCAUGCCCUAGCACAUAGAGAACAUUCCAUCCUCCCAGAGUUAGGUUCCUAGGUGGCCUUCCCCUGGAUGAAAGGUGUUUUCUUCAACUUUUCUUUGUAAGGUGUCAUGAUAAUCAGUGUAAAGAGGUAUUUGCAGCUGCCUGGGCUCCACCCCAUCCCCUCACUGAGAGAAGGGAGGAAAAGCCAUCUUUUGAAUGUCUCAAGUCCCAUGGCAUGGAGUACCAGGACAGUAGCUGCAGCAGGAUCUUGAUGUGAUCCCCCUUUGGCCUUGGCAGUGCCCAGCAGUGCAGACCUGCCAGCCUUUUCACUGGACAGGGCUGGGAAGCAGGAAGGGACUGUCACCAUCUCCCCAUUGCUGCUUGAUGGGUGCUUCCUCUCAGUGCUUGACACCACUCUCUGCUUUGCACUGCACUCUCAGAUAACUUUCUGCCACUGGUGAUGGGAGGAACUUCGUAUUUCACAGAGUACUGGGCUGGACCUGGUUAUUUUAUAGCUGGUUUAGGACCUCUGAGGGGAGGGAAGGUGCUUUUCAUCUGCCCUCAUUCCUCACGCCAGGGCUUGGAGCAGGCUGUGCUGAGACCUUUCUAAAGCAGCUUUUAGGCAUUCUGUGCAUAGCUGGUGGGAGGCUUGGUCUAAAACCAGCUGCUUGCUGCGUGGUUCUCCAAGCUCAACCUUGUCCUUGUUUUGCAAUGUGCUGUGUCCUGAACAUCUGCAGCCUUUGGGGCUUUAAGGGCCACUCUGCUGUGGGGGUUGCUGAGCUCUUUCUUGCAUUAAUUAAUGUAGCUUUACCUUUGGCAGCAGCGAAGGGAGCUGCCAGAGGUCUUACGUAGCAUUUAAAAUGUCAGCUGCCAGUCCACAGCAGCUGCCAGCACUGGAGCUCUGGCAGGGGAAUGUUGUCACAGGACAAAUGCAGGGAAUGUCAGUGUGGACACAGCGUGAGUCAGUCAGGGCAGGACUUUGUGUACAGAGUAUCCUGACGUUGGUGAAUGCCCUCUGAAAUCUCCCAGCAGGCUGGCUCCCGUGUUGCUUUGGUCAUACUCAGGGAAAUGCUGCUGGCUCCUGGCUGCUGUGGUUUGUAUUCAGCCCUGAGUGUAAGUAGUUGUCAGAGAGUGGGGUGUGCACUGAUAAAGUAAUCCCGUGGUGCUGGGAGUCUCUUCUGUGUGAAAGAGUAGGACAAAGCAUGGGUGGUAAGAGUGUUGAGAGAAUGUAAUUUCUGAAAGCAAUAAUUUUUGUCACUUGUAUCUGAAUUUUAAUUCUUUUUAAUGGACUUUUUCUUUCAAAUGUUUGUAAUUUAUCUGUUGAUUGAACUAACAUGGGAUAAAUAAUAAAAAAAUUGUAAUAACUGUUCUUGCUUGUCAUCAUUGCCUUUGUGAAUAGAUGUGUCUGGAGAGCAGUUGUUUCUUCAACAUUUAGAUUAGAAGGCUUGGCUGCAGAAUUGGAAUCUUGUAUUUGCUGUUAGUAUGGGAAAUAGAUUUCUUUCAAUAUUGUUAUUUCUUUGCAAUGAAUUGUGCUGGCUGUUUUAAGUUAGAUGCAUACCCAUUUACCUCUCACCUGUGAUUUAAACCAGCCUUCUUAUUUGGGCCUGUUGGAUGUAAGCACAUCUUCCAAAGGUGUCCACAUAGGUUCCAGAUAAUCUGGACUGAAUCCAAAUCCUUUCCCGAGUCUUAAGUCUUCAGCAGAGCAUUCUUUUCUGUGCAGUUGUUAAAGGAAGAGGGCUCCUUGGGGUUGUGGGGGUGGCUGGUUACUCAUGUAGAGUGAAUCCUUGGAAUGCAGGGGUGCACGAAUCAGCAGGAUCUCAAUGCCAGGCCCAGAGAUAUAAUCAUAGGCUGGCUACUGCAGUAUUUACCACAGUGCUUUACAUAUGGAAUUAAUCUGUGCCCUUCCUCCAUGCUGGAAAUGUGUGCCUUUGCAUAGGUGCUGGCUUUGUGUUCCUUAUGGGAACAAAAGAUUUAUGUUAAGCAGCUCAGACCAAUUUUAAAUUUUUACAGGCACCUAGAGCUGUGCUUUUGAUACCACCAGCAAUGCAAAUACCUACAGGAAACCAAAUUCCAGACUUGCUAACGGAAUGCUCUUUACUAGGAUUAGAGUCAUCCAGCAACUUUUUGAUGUUCUAGGUUUGUUUCUACCUACAAGAAAACUUGCAGACACAAUAAAGCUCCUGUCCUGCUCUGCAUCCCAGAUCUGGGCUGUAUGGCAGAUUUGUCCUUUUUCAGUCUAGGAGGGUUUCUCAAAUGGGAAAAUGCAAGCCUCAGACUGUCAGAGGCUUAUUGUCCCUACUGCCCACGAAGGUAUAAACAAAGAUAAUCAAAGCAGUUGUAUUUGUCUUUUAGGGUUUUUAUCUCUUCUGGCCUCUGAAUUCUAAGAAAAAUAAAAGCAUGAUGAGAAUAUACUUUUCUAACUGCAAAUUUUCUGCUAAAACCCUGAUCAUUCUUCAGUCUGUUCUUCCUUAUUUUAUGGCUAUUUCCUUAGCCUCUUCCUUCAGAGACAGGCUGAAACUGUAGUUUGUCUUUUGUUAAUCUGUUUUUUGUAUCCCCAUGCUAUUUAUUUUCAUGUAUUUGAAUUUACCCAGGAUGGCACUAAUGUAGUACACGUUUCAGGCAUGAAGAGGUUAAUGAAACUUUAACUGACUGCCUCAUGAUAGCAUCCAAGUUCUUGGCAACCUCAGAUGGUGGUUCCUGCCACAUACAAGGACUUUUAUCCUCUUUGAUUGCCACAUUUCUAUACAGCCAAAGUAGAUUUAACAGGAUCUUUAGGGGAGUCCUUUAUACAGUCCUUGGCUGUAACAGCACUUUUGUAGUGCCUCUUGAAAACUGAAAGGGCAGCUUUUCGUGAGCAGUCAAAAGUGAUUCAGAUGCUGAGUUUUCCAGAACAGAAGACAUGAAUCCAGUGCCAGAAAACAGAUACUGUAGGAAUUGUCCUUGGUACCAUGACAUGUGUUCAUCCUGGGCAUCUGUGAAGUCCUACAGUAACUCACCGUGUCUUGGAUACUUGGCUCAGCUCAGAUGGAGAUACUUUUGUACAUCUUCCCCAUGACCGUGUAGCCAUGAGUGACACUCCUUCAAAAGAAGAAAGGAGAAAAAGGCUUUAAAGAAAAAAGAAAACGGAAGUAGAAUUUUGCCACUCUGGAAGUACCUUAAGUCUUUUCAGCUCCUUUGCACUUCAAGUAGAGUUGUGAAUGUUCACUGCUUGCCAAGAAAAGGUUUUUCUGACAUGAGAAUUCUUGUAGGAAGCUCAUCAGCUCAGGGGAGCUCAGGGAUUCAAGAACCUCUUAGUUCUUGUUCUGGUUCCCAAACUUCUGGAAUUGUCUGGAGCAGAAUCUGGGUUGUCCGCGUCCCCAGAGCUGUUCCUGGCCCCUGUGGGAGGCUGCUGGCUGUGGCUGUCGGGGUGGCAGGGCUGCAGAGGGAGUGUGAGCACACAGGGACCCCCAGACUCUGCCACCGAGUCCCACCAGGCGUUUGCUGACUCGGGAGAUGUCCUCGCUUGCUCUGCUGGGUGGGCUUCAUGGCUUUUCAUGGUUUGGAGGAAGAACAGGGUGUACACACCAUCCUUGCAAGCAUGUGCUCUGUAUUCCACGGCUCUAAUGCAUCUGGUUUGUUGUUUCGUUUUUUAAAAUUUAUUUCAUUUUAAUAGGUUCAAACCAGCAAAGUAAGUUCAGGUGUGUAGGAGAGGCAAAAGACUUGAGGGCAGACUGACAUUCUGAGGUGAGAUACAGAGAUAAAUCACAUUAAAACCAAAGCCCCUUAGCUUUGAAGGGACACUUGAGUGCUGGCAGUGUAAGGUUGCUUUUCAAGUGAAGUAGGUGCAUCUCCUGAGUCCAUUUUUUCAGAGAGUUCUCAGACUCCAGCAAAUUAAAAAGCUCCAUUUGUCAGCUGGGUAACCAGUUCCAGGAAAUGCAGUGAGAAGGUUUUGCUUGUAAAUGUGGGUCACAUCACCCUUUCCCCUUACCUGCUCCCCUCUCAGGCCAGAAACAUUCAUAUUUACAGGAAUGAACAUGGGCAUGUGGAGCACCAAAGCAUUCAGAGGCUGUUGCCCACAAAUUCACAACAGUUUUGCAGAUGGAGGAGAAGUACAACAUAUUCUAAUAUCUGAUUAACACAGUUUAUUUUGGGCUAUGAUUUCAAAUUAAAUAACUGAAUGUAGGGUUUGAAGACUCCAGAUUCACUAAGUAUAUUGAAUUAAAAAUAAAAUUUCAGGCCAUUGUUGUAGUGAAUAAAAGCAAUGUGUUUUACAGAGGAGGCAGUAGCACAUAUCUCUUGAUUCAGUCCUCUUCCAAGUAAUUGCAAAGAGCAGAUCUUGCUGUUAAGUGAAGCAACAAAAACAUUUUAUAAUUAUGUAGGGCCAGAUUGUCUGGUUUACAGUUUCCCAGUGAAGAACUGUUCUUUGGAGAGCCUGGGGUAGCCAGGCAAAGAGAAAAAGGUGUUCUUGGCUCACCCCAUGCAUGCUGGGGUGGUGAUGCAAGCUAAUGAAUACAUUACACAUAGUUUGCAACUGGUUAGUGCCAAAAUGUCUGAUAAUUGAGGCUGUAGUCCUUUCUUUCAGAGACACCAAAACAUUUUACUUCUGUGUGAAUAGCUGUGCUGUUCAAAGACAGGGCACGAUGGUGGCUUAUACUCUUUUUCCGAAGGAAUAAAUGAAGACCCAGAGCUGUAACAGACUGUGUCAGAGCAAGAACAAAAUCUAACAGCAGUGGUGGGCACUGUCUCCUCACCAGCUGCUCCAACUGCAAAGUGACAGAUUCAUUUCGGUAACACCUGUGAGGGAUUAUUAAAAUAACUUCUUGCAACAUAACAAAUUUGCAUGUUGGGAGAGCAGAGAGGUCACUGCUUGUGGCUACAACUCUAAACCCAAAUAGCAGAAAGCUGUUUCUGUUUUGAGGGGCUUGCAGGAAGAGAUGGAUUUUGCAGCCAGGAAGAGCAGGUGAUUUUUUUUUCUAGCAACAGUAAACCUUCAGGCGUGCUGAUAAAAUUAAUUUUAGGACAUUUCUCUGUACUCCCAUGUGAAAACUGAAUGUACAUAAACUGUGGUGUAUGGUGUCUAGAAUAUCAUACAUUUUCUAGUUGCUUUCAAGAAAUGAAACAUUAUAAAAUUGUAUUUUCUGCAUUACAUAUUAUAAACGUGGAAAUAGAAGAUUUAAAUACUCCAUUCACAAAUAUGGAGUCAGAAUAUUUUGAUCAUACUGAAGCUACUUUAUUUCUUUAUAAAAAUAGAUUCAUGCUGAGUGCAUGCAACACUUAAAGGGGCAUUUUCAGCUGUAAAAGCAUUGUUGGAAAAUUUCACUCUAGAUUUAAUAGCAGUCAGUGUUUCUUUAGCCCAUGCUAUGAAAUUCUGUCCAGCUGUAGGUGCUCCCAGUACUUGUCUUGAAAUCUGGUGUGUGUGCCUUUGGAUGAGAGUAUGGAGAAUUAGAAUACAGAGAUUUAGAAAAAUGUAAGAUACUAUAUUAGAAUUAGAAUAACAAUGGUGUGUUAUUUGGUGAAAAACUCGAGAAAUUACUUUGUUCAGUUUAGCUGUUCUUGAUCCCUAAUGUCAAGGACUGCUGGAUGGAUGGAAUAUCUGCCCAUGCAAAAGGCAUUUAAAAAAAUUUGCUUGGGUUUCCCACUCUUGGAAUUUAGAAGAAAGGAAGUGGAGUUCAGCAACUUUUAGCAUGAACUGCCUGUGGUUCCUUUGCUUUAAUUUCCACCUGAAAUACAAGUUCCCUUAGUUUUGAAUGCCCCCCUGCAAUUUAAAUUUUCUGCUCCACCAGGGGUGAGCUUGCUUUGAAGAAUUCUCAAUUCCUGGACAGUGUUGCCUGUCCUCUCCACUCUGUGUCCUAAGAGCUGGUUUUGGGGAGGGAGAGUGUCGGAACCCAGGACAUCUCUCUGGAUGCCCUGGAUGUCUCAAAGCCCUGGCAGGGGCUCGGAAACCCUGGCAGGAAGCCAAAGACACCUGGAAAUUUGAUCUCAACUCAUGGAGCAAAUUACCAACCUUAUAUGAAGAAUUACAGGCCACAAAAGUUUAAGUAGCAUAGUAGUAGCAAUCACAGGGUGAAGGGGAAAAUUUUGAAGCACUGUACAGGGGGGUUUUGUAUGUUGUACAGGGGGUUUGGAAUUCUGUACGUGGGGGUCAGGAGUCCCAAGAUGGAGGGAUUUGGGCAUGCCCUGUCCUUCUUCUUUCUUCUCCUUGGCAUCCAUGUUCAGGAUGAUGUUGGCAUGUGUGGAUUGGUUCAUGGUGAAGGUGCACUUGUCAACAAGGGCGAAAAGUAUUGGGAAUUAAAGGUAAAUAUCUAAUACAUAGUUUUUACUAUAAAAGAGACAACUGCCCCGUGGGCGGGAGAGAGUGCCUUUGGCUGUCUUGCUGAUCAGACCUCGGCUGGACAGACAGAAAAACUUUGUAGAUAAGGAACAAUAAACUCAACUGAAGACCAAAAGCAAGAGUCCAGACUCCUUCUUCGAAAGCGCGGCCUGCCCAGAAACACUUUUUCCGUGCUGGGGCAGAGACAACUGACAGCCGACCCCGACAGGAGAGCAAAUGUCCAGCUUCCAUCCCUGGCAGUUCCUGACCUGUGUGUCCCAGAUCUCCAGUCACUGUGGGUACAUCUCAGGAAUGAAAAUAAAAGUGGAUUUAAGCCUUCCCCUCACAAGAUGGCAGCAUCACUUCAGGGAAUAACUUCACCUGCACCAGUCAGGCCCUGGACAUUUGAAUAUUUCCAUUUUAUCCAGUAUGUGAAAAAAAACUCUGAUAGCUGUGCUCAUUUUUGUUACCUGAACUUGUAGAUCAGCAUCAGGCACAGGACUGGACGGGUUUCAUUCAUUUGCUGCUGUGUUUAUGGUGAAAAUUAAGAAUUGUGUUGAAACUAUGUCAUUAUUGUUGUGACUCCAGUUAAUACUGCAGCUGCAUUCCUGAGAUUUCAGCAGCAACAUUUGAUUGUUUCACAUGCACCAAGCAGAAUUAUCUUACAGAAAUUUAGUUUUACAGAAAUUUAGUUUCAGAUUCACACAUAUUUCCCUCCAUGUCCACUGAGUACUUUUAUUAAUUCAAGGCUUGAUCCUACUCUCCCUGAAGUCAAUAGCUGAGUCAGAAUUUUAGGGUAAGAACGUAAAAACAGUAGAAAAGAAAGGUCAUUAAAGUUGGGGUUUUAAUGGGUUUUUUAAUAUUUUUCCCUCUCUAUAUAAAUAAUGAGGAAUGAUGAAAGAGCUGCUGUUUGAGCCAUUAGAAUCAUUGACCUUCAGUUAACUCUGGGCAACACCUUUAUUUUAUUUCAGGGCAGCAUUGAUCAACUUCUAAAAGAAUUAGGUUGAUUUUGUUUCUGAUUCUAAAAAUGGGUUUAUCAAUCUGGCCUUACCCAUUAGUAACAAAAAGCUUGGAAAUACAGGAAUCCUCACUGUGUUUUUUAAAUGAAGUUGAGCUUCCCAAGACUACAAAUACUUUUUUUUUUUUUUUUAAUUACCAUUUUGAUUUUGAUUUUACAGCAUGAGUUGUCAGCUGAAGAAUAAUACUUUCUAAUUCAUAUGGUUGUUUUAUAACUUUCUUCAGAUAUUCCACUAACAAGACCAUUUUCAUUUUUAGAUCAGGAAAGCAUUUUUCAUGACGGCCUGGAAAAAUGCCUCUUUUAUAGUAAUGAAGAGGUACUUUGCUAUUCUGGAUAGCAACUGUUAUUAUUUCAAAUAUUGGCUGAUGUGCAAUAAUACUUUAACAAGAAAAUAUUUAAAGUCUUGUAUUUUCAUUUUCUUGAAAGCUUUUAUGCUGAGCACAAAAGGAAAUUCUUAGCUUUUCUUUAAAUUUCUCAAAAUCCACCAUGCUUAAGAUAUGGUUUUACUGACAGAUGGUCACUUUGUUUGCACUUCUAGGAUUAGGGCAGGUUUAGUCUGCAAGUAUAACUUUCUAACAGCUUAAAGUGUUGGACUUACUAUUCAGAGAUAUCAAAAUUCAUAUGUUUAAACUUUACCAAACUGGAUGCAUGACCAGAGUCUUUAAUUUGUUCUUUAAUGUACCUGGGGAUUUUUAUUGGUGCAGUUCUCCUCGUCUUCAGCAAUUCACAGUUCAGCAGCCCAAAAACAAACUUACCAUCAAGAUUGUUUACUUUUUUGGCUUUGAACACAUUUUCUAAAAUUGCUGAAGGAAGGAGGCCGUGGAUAUAAAGAUAUUGGGAAAAUAAAGUCAGGUCCUUGGGUGAUAAUGAUUGCUGAAUUCUGCUCUCUCCUCCCUACCCAGCAUGGAUCGUAGGGAAACAAAAGAAAUGCACCUGAUAUCUUCAUUUACGGAGCCUGGCAUCUCCACUCUAACAUACAUGCUGAGAUGUUGUGAGGACUGAACUGCAACACACAGGCAGCAGUGUGGGAGAGCUUCAGAAAGGCAGCUUCAAACACUGGAGGUUGUUUUGGCUGCUGCAGGUCAGCACACCUCCACCAUUCCCCCUCUCCUUGCUUAAAAAAGAGACAGAGCAUGGAUCUAACCUCCUGGUCACACAAAGCCUGUGAUAUUCCCCAGGAGCCUCCUCCCUCACUCAUCCUGGCAGCAGGACAAGUAUAGCAUUUAAAGAAAAUUGAAAGAAGUCCUGCUUUAAAGAGGAAGAUAAUUCAAGGGCUAGCCUGUAGGAGAAAGUUGAGAGAUUGUUUAAGGAAGUGAAAAAAUUGAGGUUAUUUGUGAUGAAAUGCACUAUUGAUCACAUUCACAUCCCACCCAUGCUGGUAAAAGUCAGAAGGUAUUUUUCACUAGGCUGCAUGAAAUUAAUUUCUCCUCUUCCUAGUGGAUGAGAAUUCUGCUUAUAAGUGGGUCUCACUGGUUUAGUCAGCAGUGAUCCUCUUUGUGGGUCUCUUUCUUUUAACCUAGAAGUGUUAACGCUCAUGUUUAAGUCAAUUUAUUUUUCCAGAAAGCAUUUAAAAAAUGUUUAGCUUUAACUGUGUUUUCAGGGCUAGCUGGAAACACACUUGAAAGACACAGGACAAUGAGGUGUUUCUAACCUUGGCACUUGUAAGACAAGUGCAAAACUUCCAUGAUGCAGCUUUUAUCACGUGUUAAUUCCAGAAGCAUUUGUGUCUACCUGACCCACAAACAAAUAGAUCUUAUUUUUAAGGACUUGAAAGUCAGUACUUUCCACAUAUGCUAAGUACAGAGCACUAAAAGAAAGGGCAGGUAUCAUUUUUCUCUCUGGUUAUUCAGAGGAUGUAAUACAAAAGCAGGUAAAGAGGACAAUACAGAUCUCAGAUUAUUUAAGGAAAUGCUGAAUUUUUGCUUUAUACUUGUUUAUAGUAGAAAAAAGUAUGUAUUUUCAUUGCUAGAAGAAUACUAACCCAAGUCUAUAUUAUGAUCCAUGUGUGCAAUUUUCAUAGAAUACCUUGGUAGUUGCUUGACUCUUGAAAGCCAUGUUGAUUGACUAGAAAUUGUCAGAAGAAACAUAGAAAUAAUUAGGAGCAUUUCCUUUUUCAAUACCUCACUUCAGUCAUGAAAGUAUUUGCAAAGACACUGUUGACUAUUACCAGAUUACAAAAUUUACUUCUUUCUCAAAACCAGUGGAAUUUUCUGCUUCAAAUUCCCAUCCCACUUUACUUCUCCAUGCUUUAAGGAUUUAUGCUGGAAUUACAAGGAUAGACAGAGGUGAACAUUAAAAAUUCUGUUUGUUCAAAUCCUGAUAAAGGUGCACCAUUGGAAAAUAGAUUCUUCAAAACUCUACGUAAUGUUAGAAUGUUGGAAAAUCAUAAAAAUGAUUUGGGGUAGCUGAGUACUGCUCAAAAUCAUUGGAUGGGUCUGCAUUCGGCUUCUAUUUUACUGCAAAUAAGAGAUACUGAAAUCCCAAACUUUUAAUUAAAGUUUCUUACCAUUUUAUAAUGCAAAUGUGUCAAAAAUCCCCAGAUUUACUCUGAGAAGGAUAAUUAGACAUAUGACCAAAAUGUCAUUAAUACUUUUGCUCAAAAACAUAAUUAGAGGAACAUAUGCUGUAUGGUGAAUUACAUUGUUUCAACUAAUAAAGUAAAGGAUUUAUUAGAAGUAGUCCUUGGGCCAGAUCUCACUUUCUGCUAUGACAGAUGUGGAAUAAACUUAAAGCUGAAAAAUGCCAGGAAAACACAAGCUAUUGUUUGCAGAGAUUUUAUACUGGCAUGUUUGAGAUGAGUGUCUGUUCUGUUUGCUGUAUAUGAAUUUUUAAGUGGUAAUAUGUAUGGUAACUACAAUACAUAUUGCUUAGUCCCAAGCAUUGGCUAUUAUAUUGGCUUGUCUGGAAAGUAGCAAUUACAAAAUUAACAAUAAAUUAAUAAAUGUUAUGCUUUACACAGUAUUGCUAAGAAGAAUUUUGGUAAUAUACUGCCAUUUGUAGAUGGGGGAGAGUGAAAUA